rnacentral:rRNA from 1 species
AACCCGACUACAUGAAGCUGGAAUCGCUAGUAAUCGCGGAUCAGAGUGCCGCGGUGAAUACGUUCCCGGGUCUUGUACACACCGCCCGUCACACCAUGGGAGUCGGAAAUGCCCGAAGUCGGUGACCUAACUGAAAGGAAGGAGCCGCCGAAGGCAGGUCUGGUGACUGGGGUGAAGUCGUAACAAGGUAUC